UACGUAGGGUGCAAGCGUUGUCCGGAAUUAUUGGGCGUAAAGAGCUCGUAGGCGGUCUGUCGCGUCGGAUGUGAAAACCCAGGGCUCAACCCUGGGCCUGCAUUCGAUACGGGCAGACUAGAGUUCGGUAGGGGGAGACUGGAUUCCUCGGUGUAGCGGUGAAAUGCGCAGAUAUCGGAGGAAUACCGGUGGCGAAGGCGGCAUCCUGGACCGGCAUUGACGCUGAGGAGCGAAAGCUAGGGGAGCAAACGGG
rnacentral:rRNA from 1 species